UAAAGCGGGUGAAAAGCCCGCUCGCCGGAAGACCAAGGGUUCCUGUCCAACGUUAAUCGGGGCAGGGUGAGUCGACCCCUAAGGCGAGGCCGAAAGGCGUAGUCGAUGGGAAACAGGUUAAUAUUCCUGUACUUGGUGUUACUGCGAAGGGGGGACGGAGAAGGCUAUGUUAGCCGGGCGACGGUUGUCCCGGUUUAAGCAUGUAGGCUGAUUGUCCAGGCAAAUCCGGAUAAUCAAGGCUGAGGUGUGAUGACGAGGCACUACGGUGCUGAAGUAACAAAUGCCCUGCUUCCAGGAAAAGCCUCUAAGCAUCAGGUAACAUUAAAUCGUACCCCAAACCGACACAGGUGGUCAGGUAGAGAAUACCAAGGCGCUUGAGAGAACUCGGGUGAAGGAACUAGGCAAAAUGGUGCCGUAACUUCGGGAGAAGGCACGCUGGUGUGUAGGUGAAGUCCCUGCGGAUGGAGCUGAGACCAGUCGAAGAUACCAGCUGGCUGCAACUGUUUAUUAAAAACACAGCACUGUGCAAACACGAAAGUGGACGUAUACGGUGUGACGCCUGCCCGGUGCCGGAAGGUUAAUUGAUGGGGUUAUCCGUAAGGAGAAGCUCUUGAUCGAAGCCCCGGUAAACGGCGGCCGUAACUAUAACGGUCCUAAGGUAGCGAAAUUCCUUGUCGGGUAAGUUCCGACCUGCACGAAUGGCGUAAUGAUGGCCAGGCUGUCUCCACCCGAGACUCAGUGAAAUUGAACUCGCUGUGAAGAUGCAGUGUACCCGCGGCAAGACGGAAAGACCCCGUGAACCUUUACUAUAGCUUGACACUGAACAUUGAGCCUUGAUGUGUAGGAUAGGUGGGAGGCUUUGAAGCGUGGACGCCAGUCUGCGUGGAGCCAACCUUGAAAUACCACCCUUUAAUGUUUGAUGUUCUAACGUUGGCCCCUGACCGGGGUUGCGGACAGUGUCUGGUGGGUAGUUUGACUGGGGCGGUCUCCUCCCAAAGCGUAACGGAGGAGCACGAAGGUUAGCUAAUCCUGGUCGGACAUCAGGAGGUUAGUGCAAUGGCAUAAGCUAGCUUGACUGCGAGCGUGACGGCGCGAGCAGGUGCGAAAGCAGGUCAUAGUGAUCCGGUGGUUCUGAAUGGAAGGGCCAUCGCUCAACGGAUAAAAGGUACUCCGGGGAUAACAGGCUGAUACCGCCCAAGAGUUCAUAUCGACGGCGGUGUUUGGCACCUCGAUGUCGGCUCAUCACAUCCUGGGGCUGAAGUAGGUCCCAAGGGUAUGGCUGUUCGCCAUUUAAAGUGGUACGCGAGCUGGGUUUAGAACGUCGUGAGACAGUUCGGUCCCUAUCUGCCGUGGGCGCUGGAGAAUUGAGGGGGGCUGCUCCUAGUACGAGAGGACCGGAGUGGACGCAUCACUGGUGUUCGGGUUGUCAUGCCAAUGGCACUGCCCGGUAGCUAAAUGCGGAAGAGAUAAGUGCUGAAAGCAUCUAAGCACGAAACUUGCCCCGAGAUGAGUUCUCCCUGAGACUUUAAGUCUCCUGAAGGAACGUUAAAGACGAUGACGUUGAUAGGCCGGGUGUGUAAGCGCAGCGAUGCGUUGAGCUAACCGGUACUAAUGAACCGUGAGGCUUAACCUU
rnacentral:rRNA from 1 species